rnacentral:rRNA from 1 species
GCGUGGGGCGGAAACGACACUAACAAUCCUUCGGGUGCGUUAUUGGGCGUCGAGCGGCGGACGGGUGAGUAAUGCCUAGGAAAUUGCCUUGAUGUGGGGGAUAACCAUUGGAAACGAUGGCUAAUACCGCAUAAUGCCUACGGGCCAAAGAGGGGGACCUUCGGGCCUCUCGCGUCAAGAUAUGCCUAGGUGGGAUUAGCUAGUUGGUGAGGUAAUGGCUCACCAAGGCGACGAUCCCUAGCUGGUCUGAGAGGAUGAUCAGCCACACUGGAACUGAGACACGGUCCAGACUCCUACGGGAGGCAGCAGUGGGGAAUAUUGCACAAUGGGCGAAAGCCUGAUGCAGCCAUGCCGCGUGUAUGAAGAAGGCCUUCGGGUUGUAAAGUACUUUCAGUUGUGAGGAAGGGUGUGUAGUUAAUAGCUGCGCAUCUUGACGUUAGCAACAGAAGAAGCACCGGCUAACUCCGUGCCAGCAGC